rnacentral:rRNA from 1 species
CAGCCGCCGCGGUAAUACGUAGGGGGCGAGCGUUACCCGGAUUUACUGGGCGUAAAGGGGGCGUAGGCGGCCGUGAAAGUCCGGUGUGAAAACUCACGGCUCAACCGUGGGACUGCGCUGGAAACUACACGGCUUGAGGACGGUAGAGGGAGACGGAACUGCUGGUGUAGGGGUGAAAUCCGUAGAUAUCAGCAGGAACGCCGGUGGAGAAGUCGGUCUCCUGGGCCGUUCCUGACGCUGAGGCCCGAAAGCUAGGGGAGCAAACCGGAUUAGAUACCCGGGUAGUCCUAGCCGUAAACGAUGCCCACUAGGUGUGGGGGAGUAAUUCCUCCGUGCUGAAGCUAACGCGAUAAGUGGGCCGCCUGGGGAGUAUGUCCGCAAGGGUGAAACUUAAAGGAAUUGGCGGG